CAGACCGCAUCCGCAUCGACCGCAUCAUUUGCUAGCUAGCUACUCACUAAUUAGUUUACCAUAACCUUCAAUAUCUUACUUAAGAUUUAACUUUUCUGCUGACAAGAUAAUCUAAUUUAUCUCAGUAAAUCAACAUGAAGCCUGAAACAAAGAACAGAGUAAAAAUAGUAUUUAACUUUGGCAAACUUGUUUUCAACUAUGGAUUUAUUCCUAUGGUAGUUUAUCUAGGCAUUAAAAAAGGAGCUGACCCUGGAUCACAACCUUUUGGAUUAGCAAAUUUGAUUUGGUAGAGGGGAGAAGUUCAAAUUUUCAAUUAUGAAGACAUAGAUAGAUAAUUGUAUCAAUUCAAAUUAUAUGUAUGAAGUUAAUGAUAUAAUUGUUUAAUCUAACUAUGCUCCGUUUCUACUAGACUUUUCAAGUUUAAUAAUUUUUGUACUCUUAUUUUGUAUAGAACUAAUCUCUAGUCGAAUAAAUUUUGUUUUGUAUUACUA